rnacentral:lncRNA from 1 species
UUUUAUUUAUAGUGUUGCUGCCGCUUCCCUUUGCUUGUUGAAUUGGAAUUUGUUUCCCACAAGGAUUGUUUCCUUAUUUCCCUCAUUGGAUUGUUGCCAAAAGUCCUCUUCGAAUUCUAUUUCCUCUGCUACUUAAAGGUCUUCGCAGCACUUGCUUUCCAAUUCCAAUUGGUUUCCAAUUCUCCUGUGUUUCCCAAAAGGAUUCCUUUUUCUUACUUUCUUAAUUGUUUGUUGCCAAA